rnacentral:rRNA from 1 species
AUUGAACGCUGGCGGCAUGCCUUACACAUGCAAGUCGAACGGUAACGGGCCUUCGGGUGCCGACGAGUGGCGAACGGGUGAGUAAUGCAUCGGAACGUACUUUUCAGUGGGGGAUAACUAUCCGAAAGGAUAGCUAAUACCGCAUAUUCUGUGAGCAGGAAAGCAGGGGAUCGCAAGACCUUGCGCUGAUUGAGCGGCCGAUAUCAGAUUAGCUAGUUGGUGGGGUAAAGGCCUACCAAGGCUACGAUCUGUAGCGGGUCUGAGAGGAUGAUCCGCCACACUGGAACUGAGACACGGUCCAGACUCCUACGGGAGGCAGCAGUGGGGAAUUUUGGACAAUGGGGGCAACCCUGAUCCAGCCAUGCCGCGUGAGUGAAGAAGGCCUUCGGGUUGUAAAGCUCUUUCGGACGGGAAGAAAUCGCAUCGGCUAAUACCUGGUGCGGAUGACGGUACCGUAAUAAGAAGCACCGGCUAACUACGUGCCAGCAGCCGCGGUAA